AGGAAUUUAGGUUAAAUGAGACCGGAAGCCUUCAAAGCUUCAAGUAAGUCCCCAUUACUUAAUUCCUG
rnacentral:tRNA from 1 species